rnacentral:rRNA from 1 species
AUUGAACGCUGGCGGCAGGCCUAACACAUGCAAGUCGAACGAGUGGCGGACGGGUGAGUAAUGUCUGGGAAACUGCCUGAUGGAGGGGGAUAACUACUGGAAACGGUAGCUAAUACCGCAUACCAUCAGAUGUGCCCAGAUGGGAUGUGCUUGUUGGUGGGGUAACGGCUCACCAAGGCGACGAUCCCUAGCUGGUCUGAGAGGAUGACCGUCCCCACUGGAACUGAGACACGGUCCAGACUCCUACGGGAGGCAGCAGGCGAGAAUAUUGCACAAUGGGCGCAAGCCGGAUGCAGCCAGGCCGCGUGUAUGAAGAAGGCCGUCGGGUUGUAAAGUACGUGCAGCGGGGAGGCGUUACCCGCACAAGAAGCACCGGCUAACUCCGUGCCAGCAGCCGCGGUAAUUC